rnacentral:lncRNA from 1 species
AGGGGGCGCACUUCCUGUGUUCUGGGCUGGCCUUUUCCUCUCCCAGGUGCGCUUCCCUGCUUGAUCUGUGUACCCUGCUCUUUCUCCUUCAUUCCGCAGCCUCCUUUGCCCUGUGACCUGCAGGUACUGGACGGUCCCUAGAGAGGAUACCGGGACGCUCCUGAAGCCGCGAGAUGGAUGGGUCUUCCAUGAUACUGAAGGGAGAGCCACAUGUUGAUGCCCAGGACCAGCUGCCUCCUUGGUCUGAAAGGCCUGAUCGAGGCCAGGAUUGGCUAUGAGAGCUGGGAAAUGGGACCAUCUUUGAAGCCAUGGGAGAGGGUGAGAGCCACCAUCACUCAUGUUCUUGAAUGGGAACUGCCUGGAGACCCUGAAGAAGAAGGAGCCUGAAGGAGGAAGGAGGAGGCUGAGCCAUCCCGGGAACAUGGGCUGGAUGAGGCCAAGCCAGGAGACGACACCACCAGAUAGAAGUCACCAUUCAGGAUUUGGACUUUUCUGUGGAGAUCCUGGCCCCGAGAUCGAACCCUUCUCCCUGUGUUCCCGCAGGAGAUGGUGCUGGAGAUCCACCAGCUGUUCAUGGACCAUGAAUACCCAUGUCACCACAUCACUUCUCACUGCACCUGGGUGGCAGCACACUGGACCACGUCUCAGAGCUGCGCAGCAUGGCAGGGCUGCAGGCGGGCUUGCUGCUCCACGUGGUGGAAGAGCCCUGCACAAUGCACAAGGCCCACGGUGAUGAGUGCCACAUUUGAGACUGCUCAGGAGCCUGGACCCAGCUGAUGCAGCUCCUUGUCCUUCCUGAGCGUCUUCACUGACAGUGGCCUGAGAGACGGCAGGAGCAGAAAGACUUGGAGAUGGACCCCACCGACUGCACACCACCCAAGUACAUCCUGCUAGGGACCCUGGAACAGCCACUGUGUCCCCUGCAACCCCAGAACGGUGACUAAAAGCCCCAGUACUGGAACGAGGAGCUGCAGAUGAUGAGGGACCUACCCAACAAGAACCAACCUGAGCAGCUGCUUCAAGAAAAAGCCAUGUUCAAGGUGCCUGAAUCCCCUGGUAAGUGAGUGACAGCCUCACAGCCUCAGGCCCACCUGGCUCCUGCUGGAAGGUUUUCUUGUGCUCGGGAGAGAAGUGAGGGAAGCCGGCAGUCCCAGCCCUGUCAGGUGCCCUGAAGGCCCGUCAGGUUUGCCCUGCAAGGCCUUCUAGCAUUCUGCUUCCUGGGAGACCAUCCCCCACCUUUCUCCGGCCUCUGAGACUUUGAGUCCUUGGGAGGAGAAGGCCCUCCUUGCUAUCUGGGCUGAGUGGCCAGGGCCAUCCAGCUUCCCACCCUCCACUGACUGCCAUGGGGCCCUCCCCUGAGCACAUGGUGCCCAACUGUAGCCCUUCUAGGGCAGGGGCUCAUUGGCAGCACUUGCAGCUUGCUGGCACUUAAAAGUCAUUAGUGCGGUUACUGAGAGAAAUGAGGAAAAAAUAAUUGUUAAAAAAAAAAAAAAA